UAAACACAUUGCCAUGAAGGUGGAAGUGAUACGACCAAUUACAAAGAAUUUCGACCAUGCCGUCAAAUUUUCCAUUCCCUCCAUGGCCAGGUUUUUGAACAACGAAUCUCUUCAAGUUUGAAUCCAAUGAAAACCUCAUAUAAUUCAGGACCUUAAAACUGACCCCCGCCUCUUGAACCGAUGUAUGGGAUAAACACCAAAAUCAAGAAAAAACCCUUGGAAUAGAAGAUCUGGACACUGAAACUAGGCAUAAAAGGAAAUCAAGACAUGCCCCUUUAAAUGGAAGAUCAAAACCCUCAAACUAAACCAGCAACCAAUGGAGCUAAGGGAACGCCACAAGACCCAUUAUUGAACGGCCAAUCAGUCGCAUCUAAUGAUAAUAGGUCCGGCCAGCCAAUUAAGCAGGGAGUGCGCCCGCAAAUUAUAUCCAGUGUCAAAUACAUAUUCUAACACCAUGAGAGGUCCUUUUGAAAAGAAAAUUUGGACCCCCAAACUAAACCAAAGACCCAUGGGACCAAGCCAAGGAUAAGCCACAAGAUCUUUUAUUGAAUGGACAAUCUCUCCAAUUAAUGGAUCCUAGAUCCGGCCAGCCAAUUGAGCCAAUAAUUGGUUUCAGUUUGUAUCUCUAAGACCAAAUAGAGGCACCCACUGAAAUAGAAGAUUUGGACACUCAAAUUAAAACACCGACCCAACAGUACGAUGUAAGAUCUAUUAUUGAACGGCCAAUUGCCAAAUCAUUGCAAAUAUUUAAUUGGGUGUCAGUUACAUAUACUAACAUCAUGAGAGGCCUCCUUUGAAAAGAAGACUCGGGCCCUGAAGUUAAACCAAAGACCCAUUGAGCCAAGCCAAGGAUAAUCCACAAGACCUACUAUUGAAUGACCAAUCUAUCCAAUCCAUUCAUCCAAGAUCCGGCCAGCCGAUGAAGCAGAAAGUGCAGCCCACAAACUAACUCCCAACACUUCAUCCGGUGUCAGAUACAUACAAAAAUAUCAUGAGAGGCCCUUUUGAAUAGAAGAUUCGCACCCCCAAACUAAACCAAAGACCCAUGCCAAGAAAAAGCCACAAGACCUACUAUUGAACGGCCAAUCUCUCCCAUCUAAUGAUAAUAGGUCCGGCCAGCCAAUUGGGAAACAUUGUGGCCCACAAAUUAACUGCCAGCCAUUUAUGCGGUGUCAGAUACCUUUACUAAGAUCAUGAGAGGCCCUUUUGAAUGGUAGAUCCAGACCCUCAAACUAAACCAACAACCCAUGGAGCCAAGCCGAAGAUAAGUCAUAAGAUUUAUUAUUUGUAUUAGGGUGCUAUGGGCGGAGGGACGAGCCUUGCCUGGACAGGAAAGCCAACCAUCACUUUGUAUUUAUACUUUUUCAAAUAGGCAGCGCCAUGUAUCAGCUUUGGUUCUCUUUCAGUUGGUAGGGUUAGCGUCUAAAGAUUUCCUUGAGAAAGGUCGG